rnacentral:rRNA from 1 species
AUUGAACGCUGGCGGCAGGCCUAACACAUGCAAGUCGAACGAGUGGCGGACGGGUGAGUAAUGGCUGGGAAACUGCUUGACGGAGGGGGAUAACUACUGGAAACGGUAGCUAAUACCGCAUACCACCAGAUCAUCCCAGUUGGGUUUAGCUAGUUGGUGGGGUAACGGCUCACCAAGGCGACGAUCCCGAGCUGGUCUGUGAGGAUGACCGGCAACACUGGAACUGAGACACGGUCCAGACUCCUACGGGAGGCGGCAGUGGGGAAUAUUGCGCAAUGGGAGCAAGCCUGAAGCAGCCAUGCCGCGUGUGUGAAGAAGGCCUUCGGGUUGUAAAGUACUUUCAGCGGGGAGGCGUUACCCGCAGAGGAAGCACCGGCUAACUCCGUGCCAGCAGCCGCGGUAAUAC